AUCCUCGGCCAUACCACCCUGAAUGCCCCGAUCUCGUCUGAUCUCGGAAGCUAAGCAGGGUCGGGCCUGGUUAUUACUUGGAUAGGAGACCGCCUGGGAAUACCGGGCGGUUUAGGCUU
ensembl:rRNA 5S_rRNA 5S ribosomal RNA